CUAGCCCUAAACGAUGUAGACUAGACGUCGGUGGUGUAAUAGCUGUCGGUGUCCAAGCUAACGCGAUAAGUCUACCGCCUGGGGACUACGGCCGCAAGGUUAAAACUCAAAGGAAUUGACGGGUCCCCGCACAAGCAGCGGAGCGUGUGGUUUAAUUCGUUGCUACACGAAGAACCUUACCUGGGUUUGACAUAGCAGUGGUAGGGAAGCGAAAGUGGACCGACCCUUCGGGGAGCUGUUACAGGUGU
rnacentral:rRNA from 1 species